rnacentral:rRNA from 1 species
AUGGUCCGCACGAUGACCGAAGGCAUCGUGAAUAGGUUUUUGAGCUCCGCGAAGGCCGAGAUGCUUCAAAAGAACGAGACGGAGAUAAGAUGUCCGUGUCGAAGAUGCAAGCUAAAGAGCCUUAUUGCGGACCCGGAUUCUGGGCAGGUGCGGGACCACCUGCUCUUGCGUGGUUUGAUGGAUGGCUAUCGGUGGCAAGGUGAUGAAGAUGACAAUGAAGUCGUCCAUGGGGGCCGGGCAAGAAAUGAGGAACGGCAGCAAGACAACCACCGCGGCUCGGGUGGGCGAGAAGACGAAGAAUCUCCAGGACAUGAUCACGACGGUGAUGCUGUGCACAGUCAUCAUGUAUAA